AUUGAACGCUGGCGGCAUGCUUAACAUAUGCAAGUCGAACGGUAACAGGUCUAGCUUGCUAGAUGCUGACGAGUGGCGGACGGGUGAGUAACGCGUGGGAAUCUGCCUUCUAGUGGGGGAUAGCCCGGAGAAAUCCGGAUUAAUACCGCAUACGCCCUACGGGGAAAGCCGGGGAUCUUCGGACCUGGCGCUAGUAGAUGAGCCCGCGUGAGAUUAGCUUGUUGGUGGGGUAAUGGCCUACCAAGGCAACGAUCUCUAGCUGGUCUGAGAGGACGAUCAGCCACACUGGGACUGAGACACGGCCCAGACUCCUACGGGAGGCAGCAGUGGGGAAUAUUGGACAAUGGGCGAAAAGCCUGAUCCAGCAAUGCCGCGUGUGUGAAGAAGGCCUGAGGGUUGUAAAGCACUUUCAAUCGUGAAGAAAAGUUGCAGGCUAAUACCCUAGUGACCUUGACGUUAACGAUACAAGAAGC
rnacentral:rRNA from 1 species